GUGUCAGCAGCCGCGGUAAUACGUAGGGGGCGAGCGUUGUCCGGAAUUAUUGGGCGUAAAGAGCGUGUAGGCGGUUCGGUAAGUCUGUCGUGAAAACCUGAGGCUCAACCUCGGGCGUGCGAUGGAUACUGCCGGGCUAGAGGAUGGUAGAGGCGAGUGGAAUUCCCGGUGUAGCGGUGAAAUGCGCAGAUAUCGGGAGGAACACCAGUAGCGAAGGCGGCUCGCUGGGCCAUUCCUGACGCUGAGACGCGAAAGCUAGGGGAGCGAACAGGAGGAUAAACCAUUGGAUUAC
rnacentral:rRNA from 1 species